rnacentral:rRNA from 1 species
GACGAACGCUGGCGGCGUGCUUAACACAUGCAAGUCGAACGAAGUGGCGAACGGGGGAGUAACGCGUAAUCACCCUGCCCUUCAGAGGGGGACAGCAGUUGGAAACGACUGCUAAUACCGCAUCCCGAGGGAGGGGAUUGCGUCUGAUUCGCAAGUUGGCGGGGUACCGGCCCACCAAGGCGAUGAUCAGUAGCCGGGCUGAGAGGAUGAACGGCCACAGUGGGACUGAGACACGGCACAGACUCCUACGGGAGGCAGCAGUGGGGAAUCUUCCGCAAUGGACGAAAGUCUUACGGAGCAACGCCGCGUGAGUGAUGACGGCCUUCGGGUUGUAAAGCUCUGUUAAUCGGGACGCGGUACCGGAAUAGAAAGCCACGGCUAACUACGUGCCAGCAGCCGCGGUGAUUC